rnacentral:rRNA from 1 species
UACGUAGGGUGCGAGCGUUGUCCGGAAUUAUUGGGCGUAAAGGGCUCGUAGGCGGUCUGUCACGUCGGGAGUGAAAACACGGGGCUUAACCCCGUGCCUGCUUCCGAUACGGGCAGACUAGAGGUAUGCAGGGGAGAACGGAAUUCCUGGUGUAGCGGUGAAAUGCGCAGAUAUCAGGAGGAACACCGGUGGCGAAGGCGGUUCUCUGGGCAUUACCUGACGCUGAGGAGCGAAAGUGUGGGAGCGAACAGG